rnacentral:rRNA from 1 species
AUUGAACGCUGGCGGCAGGCCUAACACAUGCAAGUCGCACGAGAAAGGGCUUCGGCCUGAGUAGAGUGGCGGACGGGUGAGUAAUGCGUAGGAAUCUGUCUGGUAGUGGGGGAUAACGCGGGGAAACUCGCGCUAAUACCGCAUACGCCCCGAGGGGGAAAGCAGGGGAUCUUCGGACCUUGCGCUAUCAGGUGAGCCUACGUCGGAUUAGCUAGUUGGUAGGGUAAAGGCCUACCAAGGCGACGAUCCGUAGCUGGUCUGAGAGGAUGAUCAGCCACACUGGGACUGAGACACGGCCCAGACUCCUACGGGAGGCAGCAGUGGGGAAUAUUGGACAAUGGGGGCAACCCUGAUCCAGCCAUGCCGCGUGUGUGAAGAAGGCCUGGUUCGUAAGACGACUUCUAGCAGGA